AAGGCGCGCGAUACAGGGUGACAGCCCCGUACACAAAAGCGCAUGUGCUGUGAGCUCGAUGAGUAGGGCGGGACACGUGGUAUCCUGUCUGAAUAUGGGGGGACCAUCCUCCAAGGCUAAAUACUCCUGACUGACCGAUAGUGAACCAGUACCGUGAGGGAAAGGCGAAAAGAACCCCGGCGAGGGGAGUGAAAAAGAACCUGAAACCGUGUACGUACAAGCAGUGGGAGCACAGGUUUACCUGUGUGACUGCGUACCUUUUGUAUAAUGGGUCAGCGACUUAUAUUCUGUAGCAAGGUUAACCGUAUAGGGGAGCCGAAGGGAAACCGAGUCUUAACCGGGCGUUAAGUUGCAGGGUAUAGACCCGAAACCCGGUGAUCUAGCCAUGGGCAGGUUGAAGGUUGGGUAACACUAACUGGAGGACCGAACCGACUAAUGUUGAAAAAUUAGCGGAUGACCUGUGGCUGGGGGUGAAAGGCCAAUCAAACCGGGAGAUAGCUGGUUCUCCCCGAAAGCUAUUUAGGUAGCGCCUCGUGAAUUCAUCUCCGGGGGUAGAGCACUGUUUCGGCUAGGGGGCCAUCCCGGCUUACCAACCCGAUGCAAACUGCGAAUACCGGAGAAUGUUAUCACGGGAGACACACGGCGGGUGCUAACGUCCGUCGUGAAGAGGGAAACAACCCAGACCGCCAGCUAAGGUCCCAAAGUCAUGGUUAAGUGGGAAACGAUGUGGGAAGGCCCAGACAGCCAGGAUGUUGGCUUAGAAGCAGCCAUCAUUUAAAGAAAGCGUAAUAGCUCACUGGUCGAGUCGGCCUGCGCG
rnacentral:rRNA from 1 species